rnacentral:rRNA from 1 species
GACGAACGCUGGCGGCGUGCCUAAUACAUGCAAGUCGAACGAGAGCGACCGGUGCUUGCACUGGUCAAUCUAGUGGCGAACGGGUGAGUAACACGUGGGUAACCUGCCCAUCAGAGGGGGAUAACAUCCGGAAACGGAUGCUAAAACCGCAUAGGUCUUCGAACCGCAUGGUUUGAAGAGGAAAAGAGGCGCAAGCUUCUGCUGAUGGAUGGACCCGGGGUGCAUUAGCUAGUGGGUAAGGUAACGGCUCACAAAGGCCAUGAUGCGUAGCCGACCGGAGAGGGGGAUCGGCCAAAAGGGAACUGAGACACGGUCCAGAAGCCUACGGGAGGCAGCAGGAGGGAAUCUGACGCAAUGGGCGAAAGCCUGACGGAGCAAUGGCGAGUGAGGGAGGAAGGUUUUCGGAUCGUAAAACUCUGUUAGUAGGGAAGAACAAAGGGGUAAGUAAAUAUGCACGUCUUGAGGGUACAUAAUCAGAAAGCCACGGCUAACUACGUG